ensembl:lncRNA
GAUGAAGGAAUCUAGGUGGGAGAUUAGGGAAUACAGCGACGCAACUCUGAUGAAAACAGGUGAAGAAAAUUACAAGCAAAUUAGAUAAGCAUUUAGCUCUCCUCGGGAGACUCAGUUUAUAGCCAAGUGGAUCCCAUUUGUAGGACGUGGGCUCAGCACACCCUGAAGGCUGACCGGUUGAAAAGGCUUAUCCUGCCCGUCAGGAAAGCAAGAACUCUCAAGUCGACAGUCUAGCUCCUGAGCUCAUAUGUGGACUUAAAUCUCUGGUUAAUGAGAAAGGCCGUUCAGUAAGAAGGUAGCUCCAAUGUACUGGGAAUUAUAAAACUGCUCCCUCAUCAGGCUUCUCUACAUUGGCCUUAGAAGUGACAAACCUUCAGAAAUAGCAGGCACCUACCCGUGGCCCAUCCAAACAAGAGGGCCACAUGUCUCGGAUUCCCUUUCUCAAAAACCGAAAGAAGGAAAUUAUAGUCAGAUGGCUGGGGACAGUGGAACUGGCCACAAGAUCAGAGUUGGCUCAAUGGCAAGUCAGUGCUACUGGAGCCUGUCAGAUGAAUCCAGUCUAUAAAAAUAAGAAAGAAGCAGAUGUUCGGGGAGAAGAAGAGAUACAUGGGAAGCCCUUUCAUCAGCCCCUGGGACAGCACUGCCUGCCACAAUCGUUGAUCACUCCACGUCAGAAAAUUGAGAGCUGUGAGGCAGGGAGCGGGAGAGAGAAGCAAUGCCAGCUGCUAUGUGGGGAGUCCUUACUAUGUGCCUGGCCCAGGAGGAAAGAACCGGAUGGCUGAUUUCACUUUAUCUUUUCAACAACCCCGUAGAACAGAUACAACUAUUAGCCCCACUUUACAAGUUGAGAAAACCGAGACUUGCCCAUCAUCAGAGUAAGUGGUGAAAAAAUUCUUUGAAUGUUUUGGAAAGAAUAAGGUAAAAGGUAGUCGGCAGAUACAAAAUAUUCUUAUUUAAUGUGAAGGCCCAUUCUUUGAAGUGUGGAUCCCCCACCCAGGAAACCAGGUUCUUUUUAUUUCACGAUAUUUUGUGUAGAAUCAUUUUAUUUCCUACAUUGGCCUUCACUUAUCUUAAAAUCCAUAUACACUAGAACAAAUAUAAUAUAUAAAUAAGAAAUGAUUUAAAAACUGACACUGAUUAUUCUGACUGAUAUGACACCAUAAACAAAUAUAUAACAGGCCAAUAUAGUCAUAAAAUAUGAAAUCUGUAUGCAUUCAGCCAAAUGUCAUUCAGCAAGUAUUCGAGUGAUUACUAAGUGCCAGACCUGUGUUAGACGGUAAGGAUUUAAUAGGUAAAAAGAUAGAUAAUGUCUUUUUUUUUUUCAUGGAGCUUAUAGAGAAAAAAAUAUAGUUGAAAAUGUAUCAUUCUAUAUAAAUAAUUUGGUGUUUCUGAAGCUGAAAUGUGAAAUGAUAAAUAAGACCCUUGGUGGUCAAUUUUUAUAUUAUAAACUUUCAUUUAAAAGAGCACAAAAUGUGAAUAACACAGAACAAUCACAGAAGAACAAUUCUAUUAGAGAAAAAAAUGAUCAUCACGACCCUUAAGAAGUAGUUAUUUAAAAGAAUGAAUGAGCGCCAGCCUGGUGGCAUGGUGGUUAGGUUCGUGCACUCUGCUUUGGCAGCCCGGGGUUCGCUGGUUCGGAUCCUGGGUGCAGACCUACACACUGCUCAUCAAUCCAUGCUGUGGUGGUGUCCCACAUGGAAGAACUAGAAGAACUUACAACUAGGAUAUGCAACUAUGUACUAGGAGUUUUGGGAAAAAUAAAAAAGAAUGAAUGGAAAAAAUGAAUAAUAGAAAAGAAAGUAAGCUAUAAUCUGAUUAGCAAUAAUAAAUACAUAACAUCCAACAAUUCUUUUGAUGUGCUUCAUAGCCAUAUGUCAGACUCUUCACUCUCGUGCCUUGACAGCAUCCAAGACAGGAUUCAGAACAAAUAGCAACAUCCGUCGUGCCUAUGCUGGGUGUGCACUAGAUUAUCUCUGUAGAAAAUACCUUUUAGAAGAUUUUGUAUUCUGAUGCAGUUUGGGUUCUGCAGUGAAGAACAUAGUUCAGUUAUUUCCUAAUUUUGAAGGAAAAGUGUUGGGAAAGAGAGAUGUAAGCUAAGCAAUUUCUGAGCUAAAUCAAAAGGAUGAAUACAAUAUUCUUCAACUGCUUAGUGGAUUUCGAAUCAUUUUACAAAGACUUCACUGAGCGUACCUCAAUUUAGAAGAAUAGCCAUGAGACCUCCAAUUAGAACGAUAAUUAAAUGUCAUUUGGGGACUAGUAACCGAGCCUCGCAACAUUAUCUGAGUUGAUGACAGUGGGGAAGGGAUGAGGUUGCACAGUUCAGCUGCUGGUCACAAAUGCCAGCUGGUCAUUAUACUCCAGUAAAUUUCACGCAUCAAUGUAUUUAUUGCUACUAUAAACUGAAAAUAUGAAAGGAAGGAAAAGUAGAAAUAUAUAUUGAUUGCCUGAUGGGACUUGCAGGGUUAGUCUGAUAGCCAUUAUCCCUAGAUAACAAAUGUGUCUUUUGGUUUUACCCAAUCAAACAUAUUUCAUUCUAUUUCCAAUGUUUUGUGAAGAUGCCUGUACAAUAAAACAUGUACGCAGAAAA